rnacentral:rRNA from 1 species
AGUGAACGCUGGCGGUAGGCCUAACACAUGCAAGUCGAACGGCAGCACAGUAAGAGCUUGCUCUUACGGGUGGCGAGUGGCGGACGGGUGAGGAAUACAUCGGAAUCUACUUUUUCGUGGGGGAUAACGUAGGGAAACUUACCCUAAUACCGCAUACGACCUACGGGUGAAAGCAGGGGAUCUUCGGACCUUGCGCGAUUGAAUGAGCCGAUGUCGGAUUAGCUAGUUGGCGGGGUAAAGGCCCACCAAGGCGGCGAUCCGUAGCUGGUCUGAGAGGAUGAUCAGCCACACUGGAACUGAGACACGGUCCAGACUCCUACGGGAGGCAGCAGUGGGGAAUAUUGGACAAUGGGCGCAAGCCUGAUCCAGCCAUACCGCGUGGGUGAAGAAGGCCUUCGGGUUGUAAAGCCCUUUUGUUGGGAAAGAAAAGCAGCAGGUUAAUACCCCGCUGUUCUGACGGUACCCAAAGAAUAAGCACCGGCUAACUUCGUG